UUGAACGCUGGCGGCAUGCUUUACACAUGCAAGUCGAGCGGCAGCGCGGGGGCAACCCUGGCGGCGAGCGGCGAACGGGUGAGUAACAUAUCGGAACGUACCCUAUCGUGGGGGAUAACACAUCGAAAGAUGUGCUAAUACCGCAUACGACCUGAGGGGGAAAGCAGGGGAUCGCAAGACCUUGCGCGACAGGAGCGGCCGAUAUCGGAUUAGCUAGUUGGUGAGGUAAAGGCUCACCAAGGCGACGAUCCGUAGCGGGUCUGAGAGGACGACCAGCCACACUGGAACUGAGACACGGCCCAGACUCCUACGGGAGGCAGCAGUGGGGAAUUUUGGACAAUGGGGGCAACCCUGAUCCAGCCAUGCCGCGUGAGUGAAGAAGGCCUUCGGGUUGUAAAGCUCUUUCGGCAGGGAAGAAACGGUGAGCUCUAAUAUAGCUUGCUAAUGACGGUACCUGAAGAAGAAGCACCGGCUAACUACGU
rnacentral:rRNA from 1 species